UACGAAGGGGGCUAGCGUUGCUCGGAAUUACUGGGCGUAAAGCGCACGUAGGCGGCUUUCUAAGUCGGGGGUGAAAUCCUGGAGCUCAACUCCAGAACUGCCUUCGAUACUGGAAAGCUCGAGUCCGGGAGAGGUGAGUGGAACUGCGAGUGUAGAGGUGAAAUUCGUAGAUAUUCGCAAGAACACCAGUGGCGAAGGCGGCUCACUGGCCCGAUACUGACGGCUGAGGCACGAAAGCGUGGGGAGCAAACAGG
rnacentral:rRNA from 1 species